rnacentral:sRNA from 1 species
UAGUUGUAUCCAAUUUACAGUCAAUGA